UAAGGAGACUGCCGGUGACAAACCGGAGGAAGGGUGGGGAUGACGUCAAGUCAUCAUCGGCCCUUACGGCCGUGGGCUACACACGUGCUACAAUGGUCGGUACAAAGGGUUGCCAAGCCGCGAGGUGGAGCUAAUCCCAAUAAAACCGAUCGUAGUCCGGAUCGCAGUCUGCAACUCGACUGCGUGAAGUCGGAAUCGCUAGUAAUCGUGAAUCAGAAUGUCACGGUGAAUACGUUCCCGGGCCUU
rnacentral:rRNA from 1 species